AUGUCAAUCAUGCUAACAGGCCGGGUUGGGGUGAGGCCCUCACUUCAUCCCGGGGCUAGCACGGUGCCAGCAGUCCACAACGCGGCUUCUGUCUCUGAGCUCACCUGUAUCUACUCCGCCCUCAUCCUGCACGACGAGCAGGAUAAGGUCAAUGCCCUGAUUAAAGCAGUGGGUGUCAAUGUUGAACCUUUCUGGCCUGGCUUGUUUGCAAAGGCCCUGGCCCAUGUCAACUCUGGGAGUUUCAUCUGCAAUGUAGGGGCUGGCUGGCCGCUCCAGCAGCUGGGGCUGCACCUGCUGGUGGCCCUGCUCCAUCCACUGUUGCUGCCCCAGCUGAGGAGAAGAAAGUGGAAGCAAAGAAGGAAGAGUCCGAGCAGUCGGAAGAUGACUUGGGCUUUGGUCUUUUUGACUAAACUGCAUUUGUUAACAUGUCCAAUAAAGAGCUGAACCUGUUAAAAAACAAAA